rnacentral:rRNA from 1 species
CCCUUAGAUGUCCGGGGCCGCACGCGCGCUACACUGAAGGAAUCAGCGUGGCUUGCUCCCUGACCCGAAAGGGUUGGGAAACCCGUUGAAUCUCCUUCGUGAUAGGGAUUGGGGCUUGAAAUUGUUCCCCAUGAACGAGGAAUUCCCAGUAAGCGCGAGUCAUAAGCUCGCGUUGAUUACGUCCCUGCCCUUUGUACACACCGCCCGUCGCUACUACCGAUUGAACGGUUUAGUGAGGGCCUCGGAUUGGUCUCGGCCCGCUCUUUACCGGGCGGCGCCGUUGGUCGAGAAGACGCUCGAACUUGAUCGUUUAGAGGAAGUAAAAGUCGUAACA